rnacentral:rRNA from 1 species
AACGAACGCUGGCGGCAGGCCUAACACAUGCAAGUCGAGCGAGACCUUCGGGUCUAGCGGCGGACGGGUGAGUAACGCGUGGGAACGUGCCCUUUUCUACGGAAUAGCCCUGGGAAACUGAGCGUAAUACCGGAUAAGUCCCGCGGGGGAAAGAUUUAUCGGAGAAGGAUCGGCACGCGUUGGAUGAGGUUGUUGGUGGGGUAAUGGCCUACCAAGCCUACGAUCCAUAGCUGGUUUGAGAGGAUGAUCAGCCACACUGGGACUGAGACACGGCCCAGACUCCUACGGGAGGCAGCAGUGGGGAAUCUUAGACAAUGGCGGCAACCCUGAUCUAGCCAUGCCGCGUGAGUGAUGAAGGCCUUAGGGUUGUAAAGCUCUUUCAGCUGGGAAGAUAAUGACGGUACCAGCAGAAGAAGCCCCGGCUAACUCCGUG